rnacentral:rRNA from 1 species
GCAGGAAGAGAAAGAAAUAUCGAUUCCCUGAGUAGCGGCGAGCGAAAAGGGAAGAGCCCAAACCAACAAGCUUGCUUGUUGGGGUUGUAGGACUGAACAUUAGAGUUACCAAAGUGCGACGUAGUCGUAACAGUUGGGAAGCUGUGCCAUAGAGGGUGAAAGCCCCGUAGACGAAACGUCGCACUCUCUGUUCAGGAUCCUGAGUACGGCGGGACACGUGAAACCCCGUCGGAAUCCGCGAGGACCAUCUCGCAA